UACGUAGGGGGCAAGCGUUGUCCGGAAUCAUUGGGCGUAAAGAGCGUGUAGGCGGCUUGGUAAGUCCGCUGUGAAAGUCCAGGGCUCAACCCUGGAAAGCCGGUGGAAACUGUCAAGCUUGAGUCCGGAAGAGGCGAGUGGAAUUCCUGGUGUAGCGGUGAAAUGCGCAGAUAUCAGGAGGAACACCAAUGGCGAAGGCAGCUCGCUGGGACGGUACUGACGCUGAGACGGGAAAGCGUGGGGAGCAAACAGG
rnacentral:rRNA from 1 species